rnacentral:rRNA from 1 species
UACGAAGGGUGCAAGCGUUACUCGGAAUUACUGGGCGUAAAGCGUGCGUAGGUGGUUCGUUAAGUCUGUCGUGAAAGCCCCGGGCUCAACCUGGGAAUGGCGAUGGAUACUGGCGGGCUAGAGUGCGGUAGAGGAGAGUGGAAUUCCCGGUGUAGCAGUGAAAUGCGUAGAGAUCGGGAGGAACAUCAGUUGCGAAGGCGGCUCUCUGGACCAGCACUGACACUAAGGCACGAAAGCGUGGGGAGCAAACAGG